rnacentral:ncRNA from 1 species
UGAUAGAGGUCGCGGUCGACAAGAGUAGCCCGUUUGCAGACAGGCAAGCGCAAACGGGGAAAAGGGGAGAUCGCCGAGGAGCGGAUAAGAAGCCUGAUCGAGUCCGUGUCCGGGGUCGCGGAGAACAUUCGCGGCACUGUCGCCUCCAGGGGCGGAGAGCUGUC